rnacentral:rRNA from 1 species
GCUUGCUCCUUUGAGACCGGCGCACGGGUGCGUAACGCGUAUGCAAUCUACCUUUCACAGAGGGAUAGCCCAGAGAAAUUUGGAUUAAUACCUCAUAGUAUAGCAGUUUCGCAUGAAACCACUAUUAAAGUCACAACGGUGAAAGAUGAGCAUGCGUCCCAUUAGCUAGUUGGUAAGGUAACGGCUUACCAAGGCAACGAUGGGUAGGGGUCCUGAGAGGGAGAUCCCCCACACUGGUACUGAGACACGGACCAGACUCCUACGGGAGGCAGCAGUGAGGAAUAUUGGACAAUGGGCGCAAGCCUGAUCCAGCCAUGCCGCGUGCAGGAUGACGGUCCUAUGGAUUGUAAACUGCUUUUGUACAGGAAGAAACACCUCUACGUGUAGAGACUUGACGGUACUGUAAGAAUAAGGAUCGGCUAACUCCGUGCCAGCAGCCGCGGUAAUACGGAGGAUCCAAGCGUUAUCCGGAAUCAUUGGGUUUAAAGGGUCCGUAGGCGGUUUAGUAAGUCAGUGGUGAAAGCCCAUCGCUCAACGGUGGAACGGCCAUUGAUACUGCUAGACUUGAAUUAUUAGGAAGUAACUAGAAUAUGUAGUGUAGCGGUGAAAUGCUUAGAGAUUACAUGGAAUACCAAUUGCGAAGGCAGGUUACUACUAAUUGAUUGACGCUGAUGGACGAAAGCGUGGGUAGCGAACAGGAUUAGAUACCCUGGUAGUCCACGCCGUAAACGAUGGAUACUAGCUGUUGGGCGCAAGUUCAGUGGCUAAGCGAAAGUGAUAAGUAUCCCACCUGGGGAGUACGUUCGCAAGAAUGAAACUCAAAGGAAUUGACGGGGGCCCGCA